ensembl:lncRNA
UAUACGCUCCACGGUUGAGCUCUGAGUCUCAAUCUCUUGAUCUUCUCAAAAAACCAGGCAGGACCAGCAUCCUUCAUCCUUGCAGUCCUUAGGUGAAUAUCCCAACAAGCUGAAUUCUGUGGCACCAGCACCCUGUGUCCUCAUGGGCUGCUUCUAAAAGCCUCACUGGCUCAUGUAUCCAUGAGGUGUGGAUGGAUUCCUACUGACGUGUAGUGUAUCUCUUUUCUCACUGCACAUUAUUCUUUCAGGAUCCCCAGGCCACUCUGCAUACUUACAGUCCCAACCAGGAGAGGAAAAGCUCCAUCAUCGUGAUCCACAGAGGCUUGGGACCUUGUAAUAGAAUUGCGUGUCUUGUUGGACUCAGAAAUUUCAAGAGGCACAAACUUCAUACCAUGCUGAAUUUAAGCCAUUCUUGGCAUCAUCAGGAGACCAUGGGCUCAGCUUCAGACUCUCCUGAGGCUUAUGCGUGGUACAUAAACUCAAAUAGUAACUCCCACUUCUUCCUGGCCAUGCAUUGUGCGCAAAAGAGGAGAGGAAGCAGGAACAUCGUUUGCACUAAGGCAACACUGAGAAGAUCCUACUGUUUGAAGAUGAGGUCAUGAUUGCAGUGGCAUAGUUAUUUACUUCCUAAUGACGCAAGAACUCACUGCAAAUAAAAAAUAUAAAGAACAACUCUUCCCUUUAUAUCUCUUGCUGAGAGAAUGCUGAUUGCAUGUCAAGGAAUGGUGUUUUUAGGUUAAAAUAAAGUUAUUAUUAAGAUGUUUUUUCUUGUUUCAGGCCUGGUUUUAUAAUGUCACCUAAGUGAGUUAGUCCUACUGAAAUAAAGGAGGAGCCUCCUGUUAUUUAAGUAUAGACUGGUAUGGUUGCAUUUUUUUACUGUUUUGUUUUUGUUUUUGUUGUUGUUGUUGUUGAAUUUCCAUAUUUAGGAGAGCAAAGGGAAUGGAUAAAUCUUCUUGGGCAUCACUGCUGUCUCAGCUACCAAACCAUGCUCAGGUGGAUCCAGUGCCACAGUUGCAUGGUUGGCAUUGUUGUUGUCAACCUAAUUAAUAGUUUCAUCAUUUAAAAAUGGGUGAAAAAGGUGAUAGGUGUUUUGUUGUUGUUGUUGUUUUUGGUAGGUUCCAGUUUGCUUGCAUUUCACGCUACUAAAAUAAUAAAAUUGCAUUGGAUGCCACUUUAUCAGUCUGAUAACCUCGGAGAGCAAUAGCAUUACUCCUAUGGCUAACUUAAAUACGAGCUGGAACAGCACCUAUGAAGUCAAUAAACCCCUUUCUUGGGUUUCAGAAAUGCUGAUUCACUCAAAUGCAGUUAAAAGAAUAACUGAAUUGAUUAAAUCACACUUGAAUUAAAGUCGAGGCUCAAAUAUUUUGAUGCAUUUGACAGAAAAUCAAAAUAACUUUUAUGCAGUGAAGAAUGGACUGAAAAAGUAUUUCUGCCUCUUCAGUGAACAGGAAAGUGGUCAGUUCAGAUGAAAUGGUUAUCUUGACCAUUUCCAUGUAGCUCUUUAAUAGGUUCAUCUCUAUUUGCAAAUACUUGUGUUAUUACCUUACUCAUGAUUUACAGGGGUGAACAGCUUCUGAGCAGAUGCACACUGAUAAUCACCUUGCACAUUUAUGAGAGGAUACAGUCUCUUUCCAGCAGACUUUUUGAUGGCCACCGAUCCAGAUCUCCAGGUUCAGUUGUGCAGUACUGUGGUGGGCUGACCUUGGCUAAGGGUCAAACGCCCACCUACUUUCACACUUCUGCUCUGCAAUUGUUUUCCAACUGCCUCUUUACUAAUGCCUUGCCAGGUUUCUGGCUAUUCUAGCUAUACUAAUUGACUUCUUACUGGUCAAAAUUCCCCAGGAACCUUCGCAGCUGGACAGACAAAAAUGAAGUUCAGGCACUGUCACAUUUUCUUCACUCACAGAAGCUAGGGACAUCCCAAUUUUCGAUCUCUCUUCGCUGAGGUAUUGCGUUUCUUAUCAAAGAUGAUGAAGAGUUCUGGUUCUGCUGAUGUCAUUCGCUCCUCUCAAGCAUAAGAUAUCCUGUCAAGACUACCAACGGGAAGAUGCUAUAUGCCUGACAGCAUGAAUCUUCCCCUGCCCCCAUCCCUAAUGCCUGAUGUCUUCAUUGCUCAGUGCUGAAGAUGUGGUCAGUGAGGAACAUAUACAGCUGGGGAGAAAAGGUAUCACUGUUCCCACAGAAUGUGCCAUUUAAGUACAAAGAAGGUCGAGAAGGAAGUGGCAUCAGAUUUUCACAGCAUGAUGGAAGAAGUAUGCAUCACUGGUGGGGUCUGAUUGCUCUGCCUCAUGUGCACACCUAGAGGAUGGUAGGAAGGGGCAGUUACAUUCCACAGACACUCUUGCUAAGCAAGCGUAUCUUCAACAAGGAAAAAGUGUUUGUACGUCCUUAAUGAAGUAAAAACACCACGGCAUUAUGCAGAAAUCAUCACUGAAAUCUAAGAGGACACAACAAUCUAAUGAAGUCACUGUUCUUUGCCUGAAAAUGUUAGCCUAGCAUUGUGAUGUUUUGAUGGACAAUAUGUAAUGAUCAUUUGAGUAUCAUCUGUUCCAUUAAAAAAAAAAAA